ensembl:misc_RNA 7SK 7SK RNA
GGAUGUGUGGGUGAUCUGGCUGCAACAUGUCACCCCAUUGGUCACCAGGGUUGAUUGGGCUAAUCUGGCUGACUAGGCAGGUGUCCCCUCCUUUCCUCACCGCUCCAUGUGCAUCCCUCAGGAAGCUGCCCACUUGGUUGCAGAGGACGGCCAUCCCUGAUAGAGGAGGACCGUUUCCUCAGUCAAGGGUAUACGAGUAGCUUCGCUCCCCUGCUAGAACCUCCAAACAAGCUCUCAAGAUGUGAUUGACUUAAUUAAGAAGGCAUGAUCAAAUUAAAAGAUAAUAAAAACUGUAUUAUGAGAUCACCUUC